UAUUGAUUUCCACAGUGGUCGCACCAGUCUGCACUGCCACCAACAAUGAAGAAGUGUUCCUUUCUCCCCGCCAGCAUUUGUUAUUGGUUGAUUUCUUGAUAGCAGCCAUUCUUUCUGGGGUGAGGUGGAAUCUCUCAGCAUUGUUUUCCUCUGCAUCUCUCGAAUGACCAGUGAUGUUGAACAUUUUUUUCAUAUGGUUAUUUGCUGCUUUUACUUCUUUGAGAAAUGUCUGUUCAUUUCAGGUGCCCAAUUUUGAAUUGGCUCUUUAUAUUUGGGGGAUCUGAUUUUUUUGAGUUCUUUAUAUAUUCUAGAUAGUAGACCUUUGUCUGAGGAUUAGCUGGUAAAAAUUUUUUCUCACAUUGUAGGUUGCCUCAGCUCUGUUGGUGUUUUCUGUUGCAGUGCAGAAGCUUUUUUUAAAAAAUGAGAUCCCAAUUUUUGAUUCUUUGUGCUAGUUCCCAUGCUACUGAGGAUUUGUUCUUAAAGUUUUUUCCUAUGCCAAUGUCUUCGAGAGUUCUACCUAAAUUACCUUCCAGCAGGUUUAGUGUUUAAUAUUUAGAUCUUUAAUCCACUUUGAUUUUAGUUUAGUGGAUGGUGAAAGAUAGGGAUCUAGUUUUAAUCUUUGGCAAGUUGAAAUCCAGUUUUUUCAGCACCAUUUAUUAAAGAGGCAAUAUUGCCUCCAAUGAGUAUGGUUGGCCCCUUUGUCAAAGAUGAGGUGGCUGAGUGUGUCUGUAGUUGUGUCUGGAUCUUCUAAUCUAUUCCACUGAUCCUUGGGUCUGUUUCUCUGCCAGUACCAUGCUGUUUUUAUCACAGUGGCUUUGUAGUAUAGUUUCAAGUUGGGGAUUGUGAUACCCCCUGCCAUAUCUCUGUUGCCUAGAAUUGCUUUUGCUAUUAUAGGUCUCUUCUGGUUCGAAAUGAAUUUUUGGAUCGUUUUCUCUAGUUCUGUGAAAUAUUCUGUUGGGAAUUCAGUCGGGAUUGCAUUGAAUCUGUAUAGCAGUUUUAGAAGUAUGGACGUUUUCACUGUAUUGGUUAUUCCUACCCAGGAGCAAGGGAUGUCUUUCCAUUUUCUUAUAUCCUCUUCGAUCUCUUUUUUCAGUGUGUUGUAGUUCUCAAUGUAGAGGUCUUUUGCUUCCUUCAUUAGAUUGAUUCCUAGAUGCUUCACUUUUUUGGGAUGCUAUUGUGAAAGGGAUUGUUUCCCUAAUUGCUCUCUUGGUGAGUCUGUUAUUUGUGUACAAGAAAGCUAUUGAUUUUUGAGUGUUGACCGUGUAUCCAGCUACUCCACUGAAUCUGUCAAUUAAGUUUAGAGGUCUUUUGGUGGACUUUUUUGGGUCUUCUAUGUAGAUUAUCAUAUCGGCAGCAAAUAAUGACAAUUGGACUUCUUCUUUUCCUAUUUUUAUUGCUUUAAUUUUUUUUCUCUUGUCUAAUUGCUGUUGCUAAUGUUUCCAAAACUAUAUUGAACAGGAGUGGUGAUAGUGGACAUCCUUGUCUUGUUCCUGAUUUUAGUGUGAAGGUUUUCAGUUUUUGACCUUUUAAUAUGAUGUUGGCUGUUGAUUUUUCAUAGAUAGAUGGUCAUCCAAUUUUCUGCAGGGUUUUUAUUAUGAAUGGGUGUUGAAUUUUGUUGAAUGUUUUUUCUGCAUCUAUUGAGAUGAUCAUAUGGUUUUUGUCCUUGACUCUGUUAAUAUAGUAUAUUACAUUUAUUGAUUUACAAAUGUCGAACCAUCCUUGCAUCCCUGGGAUAAAUCCGACUUGGUCAGGGUGUAUGAUCUUCUCGAUGACCCUCUGUAUUCUGUUUACCAGUAUCUUAUUGAGGAUUUUUGCAACUAUGUUCAUUAGGGAGAUUGGCCUGUAGUGUUGUGGUUUUUUUGGGGGGGGGGGGCAGUCUUUCCCUGGUUUUAGAAUCAAAGUAACACUAGCUUCCAGGAAUGAAUUUGGAAGUAUUGCUUCCCUUUCAGUUUCAUUGAAAAGUUUAAAGAGUAGUGGCAGUAGUUCUUCUCUAAAUGUCUUGUAGAAUUCAGCACUGAAGCCAUCAAGUCCUCGACCUUUUUUUGUUGGUAAAUUUUUAAUUACAUUUUCAAUUUCACUGAUUGUAAUUGGGGUGUUUAGAAUCUUUAUAUCUUCUUCAUUCAACUUUGCUAAUUCAUAUGUAUCUAGAAAUCUGUCCAUUCUGUGUUUUCCAUUUUAUUAGAGUACAGGUUCUCAAAGUAGGUAUUGAUGGUCCUCUGGAUUUCUGCUGGAUCUGUUGUGACUUCAACUUUUUCAUUCCUAAUUGCAUGGAUUUGAGCCUUUUCUUUCCUUUUUUUGUUAAGGUUGGCUAAGGGUUUAUUGAUUUUAUUUAUUCUUUCAAAGAACCAAGUCUUUGAUUCAUUGAUUUUUUUGUAUCAUUCUCUUAGUCUCUAUUGCAUUGAUUUUUUGCUCUGAUCUUUUUAAUUUCCUCCCUUGUACGAGCUUUGGGUUUGUCUUGCUCUUUUUUUCUAGGAACUUAAGAUUCAGCAUUAGGUUGUUUAUUUGAGCUUGCUAUGUUUUCCUAGUGUGGGCAUUCACUGCUAUAAAUUUCCCUCGUAGAACUGCUUCCAUUGUGACCCAUUGGUUGUUCAGAAGUGUAUUGUUCAAUUUCCAUGUGUUUAUGAAAUUCUUGUGGUUUCUAUUGCUGUUGAUCUCCAAUUUCAUCACACUAUGGUCUGAUAAUAUAUAGGGGAUAACUUCAGUUCCUUUACACUUAAAAACAUAUUCUAUGAGUGAGUAUGUGGUCUGUUUUGGAGAAUGACCCGUAUGCAGAUGAAAAGAAAGUGUAUUCUGAUUUUGUGGGGGUGGUACACUCUGUAAACAUUUGUUAAGUUCAUUUGUUCAAGACUGAGUUCUAGUAUUUCAUUGCUUAUUUUUUGUCUAGUUGAUCUAUCCAUUUGUGACAGUGGGGUAUUGAGGUCCCCCACUACUAUUAUAUUAGUGCUUAUAAGAUUUUUCAUGUCCGUUAGUAUUUGUUUUAUAUAAUUGGGCACACUAGUGUUUGGUGCAUAUAUAUUUAUGAUUGUCAUCUCUUCCUCUUGGAUUGUUCACUUUACAAGGAUGUAGUGGCCUUCUUUGUGUCUCUGAAUCAGUGUUUGUUUUAAAUCCACUUGAUCUGCAAAGAGGUUAGCUACUCCUGCUCCUUUUUGGAUUCUUGUCACAUGGCAUAUUGUUUUCCACCCUUUAACUUUCAGUCUAUGAGUUUCUUUUUGAAUUAAGUGUGUUUCUUGUAUGCAGCAUAUUGGUGGACCUUGCUUCUUGACCCAUUCUGCCAGUCUAUUUCUUUUGAUUGGUGAAUUGAGACCAUUAACAUUGAUGGUCGUAAUUGAUAUGUAUUGUUUCAUCAUUGUCAUGUUAUUUUUCCUAUUGUUGACUUUUAUUUUUGCCCCUCUCCCUUUAAUUUCUUGCCUUGCCUGAUGAAAUAUUUUGGAUUUGCCCUGUUGGCCCUCAUGGAGUUGUGACCUUCAUUGUCUUUUUCUAGGAUAUUUUAAAACAUUGUUUGGAGUGCUGGUUUGGUAUUCAUGAAGUUUCUCAGGUUUUCUUUGUCAUGGAAGUAUCUUAUUUUCCCAUCAAUUUUGAAAGAUAGUUUUGCAUGAUAUAUCAAUCUAGGUUGGAGGUUGUUUUCUUUUAGGGCUUGAAAUACUUCACUUCAGGCUCUCUUUGACUUGAGGGUUUGUGUUGAAAAGUCUACUGUGAUUCUGAUGGGCUUUCCUUUGCAUGUGAUUUGUUUAUUUUCUCCAACUGCUUAUAGUAUUUUGUUCUUCUGUUGGGUUUCUGGGAUCUUGAUUAUUAUAUGUCUAGGUGUAGAUUUUUUUUUGAUCAUGGGUAGUUGGAGUCCUAUAUGCCUCCCUUAUUUGUAUGUCAAAUUCUUUUGCUUUGAGAAGUUUUCUGUCAUUCUGUGAACAGUUUUUUUUUGUCAUUUGUACUUUCUCCUGCUUUUUCAUGGACUUCUGUCAGUCUCACAUUAUUCUUCUUUGCAUCAUCUAGGAGCUGUUGGAUUGAUUUCUCAUGGUCCCUUACUGUGUUUAAGAGAUCUCUCUUUUCAUGGUCACUGACCAUCAUCCUGUCUUCUGUAUCUGAUAUUCUGUCUUCAGAUUGACUCAGUCUGCUGCGUAUACUUUCAAUAGAGUUUUCAAUCUCCUGGAUAUCCGUUUCAUGGAUUCCAUUUCUUUCCUAUGUUGGGUGUUCAUGGUUUCCAUUUCUUUCCUAUGCUGGGCAUUCAUGGCUUCCAUCAUGGUCCUGAGCUCAUCUAUUUUCUUAUCUGUUUCUCUUUUAGAGUCUCUAAUCAUGUCUUUCAUUCUGCUCACCAUCUCUGUAUUUAUCUGGGAAAUAAUUUCUGUUUUGAAUUUUUCUCGGCCCGGAUGGGGAUGGGGCAGUACCGAUGGCUCCUCACCGGUCUGCUCCUGGCUGGGAGCCAUAAUGUUUUUUUCUUAGUGAAGUGCACUACACUGUACAAAGCAUCAUGCCCACAAACCCUGGUUUCUUCCUGGCCUUAGCCCCAGCCUGUCACUGUGUGGAUACCACUGCAGGCCUGUCCAGGUGGCCUGAAAAUGAAGUCACAGAACAAGUUGACCAUUCGGAGAUGAGGAGGGAUGGCUUUGCAUGCUCACCCCUACGAGCUGAUGGCAAACCAAUGUUCUUGCUAAUGAGGAUGGAUGUAAAGUGUCAUCGCACCAGUGCUCUUAUCAGAGUAACAUAGCUUAGAAGCUAAAAAUGCCUGCUGUGGAUGCUGACUGCCUGGUUAAAAUCCUGCUUCAUGCCUCCCUACUAAUGGGGCACAUUAACCCACUGCUUCAGUCCCCAGCUUUUUCAUCUGUAAAAUGACCACAGCUCGCCAUAGAGCUGUGAAGGUGAAACAACUUACUGCCCUGUGGUGAAGUUUACACAGUUCUGGGAUGUAUAGAAAGCACGCUUAAGUCAGUGUUCCUUAAGACAGAAACAGCUAGUUUACUGUCUUAAAACCUCAAACAGUAUCUCAAUUUUUAGCCAGGUGGCUGUGUAUCCAACUAACACACAUUUUCUAACUUUACAGAAAAAACGUGUUUUUUUUUCAUUGAGAUGUAAAGGGAAGUGCUGUGCUCUGACAGAAAUCACACUAAGGACGAUGAUUUGAGAGAUGAAGAAGGAAAAGCUGUGGAAGGGACGGGCUUGCAGAUGAGUCUGGGCUCUCGGGAGGCAUGACAGUGGCCACGUCACGAG
ensembl:lncRNA